rnacentral:piRNA from 1 species
UGGGGAUGUUAAUGUCUAGAACAGCCUGGA